GUGUUGUAAGUUGGCGUACUUCUGACACGGCUCACAUCUUCGAACCAAGUCAGCCGUGUCUUUCUUCAUGGUGGACCAGUAGUAACCUUGCCGCAGGACUUUGUAGGUUAAGAAUUUGCCCCCCAGGUGGCUCCCGCAGAUCCUUUCAUGCACCUCUCUGAGUGCGUAGUCCGCAUCCGUCGAUCCCAGGCACCGUAGCAAGGGAAGGA
rnacentral:lncRNA from 1 species